AGGAGAAGGAGAAGGAGGAGAAGGAGAAGGAGAAGGAGACAGCCUUUUGGAUCUGCCCUCAAGAAAUGUCCAAACUGGAAGGCCCAGAAAACCUGGAGUACUCACCCAUGUGGCACAGUGAUGAGGACUGUCAAGGGGAAACAUGCAACGUGCAGGCUGAGAGGGCCAAGAAGGGCUACCUUCUCUUCCAAGACGAGCACAUUUCUCUGACACCAUCUUCCCAGACGAUAUUUCUGGCCCAAGCCCAUGCUAGCUAUCAAGCUCAAGCAAAGAUUACUAACACGUAGGAUCCUAGGAGCAUCCUAAAAUAAACUUCCUGGGUUUCUUCUA